rnacentral:misc_RNA from 1 species
UACGUAGGUGGCAAGCGUUGUCCGGAAUUAUUGGGCGUAAAGCGCGCGCAGGCGGUCUCUUAAGUCUGAUGUGAAAGCCCACGGCUCAACCGUGGAGGGCCAUUGGAAACUGGGAGACUUGAGUACAGAAGAGGAAAGUGGAAUUCCACGUGUAGCGGUGAAAUGCGUAGAGAUCUGGAGGAACACCAGAGGCGAAGGCGGCUUUCUGGUCUGUAACUGACGCUGAGGCGCGAAAGCGUGGGGAGCAAACGGG